UAGGAUCUGGUUUAAGGCGUUUGGUGGAUGCCUUGGCUCUUUUAGCUGAUGAAGGACGUGGUAGUCUGCGAUAAGCUUCGGUUAGCUGGCAACAAGCGUUUACCCGGAGAUUUCCGAAUGGGGCAACCCGCCUGAUUUAUCAGGCACCCACCGCCCAAUUCAUAAGCGGUGUGGAAGGAACUCCCUGAACUGAAACAUCUAAGUAAGGGGAGGAAAAGAAAGCAAUAGCGAUUCUCUAAGUAGCGGCGAGCGAAAAGGGAAUAGCCCAAACCCCGAUUUAAUCGGGGGGUUGUAGGGCUUACCUGCCUUUAAUGGCAAGAAGUUACAAAACUUUUUGGUAGUAGAAAGAUCUGGAAUGGUGUACCACAGAGAGUGAAAGUCUCGUAUGCGAAACCAAAAAGACUUCUGGUGAGUACCUGAGUACCGCGGGGCACGUGAAAUCCUGCGGGAAUCUACGCCGAACACGGCGUAAGGCUAAAUACUAAAAGAGACCGAUAGUGAACAAGUACCGUGAGGGAAAGGUGAAAAGAACCCCUGUGAGGGGAGUGAAAUAGAUCUGAAACCAAACGCUAACAAGCAGUCGGAGUCCGCCAGCUGGCGGAUGACGGCGUGCCUAUUGAAGAAUGAGCCGGCGAGUUAUGCAGCUACUGCAAGUCUAAGUCCUUAAAAGGACGAAAGCGUAGUGAAAGCGAGCCCUAACUGGGCGUUUAGCAGUGUUGCGUAGACCCGAAACCGGGUGAGCUACCUAUGGACAGGGUGAACUCCGACGAAGGUCGGAGGGAGGCCCGAACCCGUUACCGCUGCAAAGGUAUGGGACGAUCUGUGGGUAGAGGUGAUAUGCCAAUCGAACCCGGAGAUAGCUGGUUCUCCCCGAAAUAUAUAUAAGUAUAGCAUUCUGUGAUGGGCUUGUGGGGUAGAGUUACUGAAUGGCUUUGGCAAGCGCAAGUGAGCCAAGCUAACCAAACUCCGAAUACGCAAGUUUUUUAGCAGAAUAGUCAGACUGUUCGGGCUAAGCCGAAUAGUCUAAAGGGAAACAGCCCAGACCAUCAGUUAAGGUCCCUAAGAUCAAGCUAAGUGAGGAAGGAAGUAUCAUUCCUUAGACAGGUAGGAGGUUGGCUCAGAAGCAGCCAUCCUUUAAAGAGUGCGUAACAGCUCACUAUCCGAUUUGGGAAUGGUGCGCCGAAAAUUCAACGGGGCUAAAGCUUGCCAAGUACCGUAAGGUAACUUGGUUCUAGAUCUUUGGUCUAGAAACACCGAAACUAUGGGCCCGAUCUAAUCGGGCGGUAGGGGAGCGUUCUUGGUGGGGUGAAGCUUUGACGUAAGUCAGGGUGGACUGCCAAGAAGUGAGAAUGCCGGCAUGAGUAACAACACUUCGGUGAAAAACCGAAGCGCCGAAUACCCAAGGUUUCCUUCGCAACGAUAAUCGGCGAAGGGUUAGUCGGUCCUAAGCCAAGUCCCGGGUAACGGGGGUAGGUGAUGGAUAAGCCGUUAAAAUUCGGCUACCAAGUUUAGCCCGCUAGUUCACGUAAGUGAACCUACGAUCGUAAGAUUGUAUUCAGCGAAGGGUUGACAAAGGUGGAAGUUUCUCCACUGCUUUUGCAUAUGCAGUGCUAAGUAGUUAGGAAGUGGCAGCAGGAAAAUCCGCUGAUACGUUUAUCUAAGCUACGAUGGCCCCGAAAGGCGCAAGUUAAUUGGGGGUAGAAAGCUUUCAGCUUUCAAGAAAAUGCUCGUCGUGAGGACUAAAUUUGACCGUACCGCAAACCGACACAGGUGGGUUGGUAGAGUAUACCAAGGCGAUCGGGAGAACUAUUUCCAAGGAACUCGGCAAAAAAUCUGGGCGUAAGUUAUGCGAGAUGCCCUUCCCGAUUUAUUCGGGACGCAGCUAAAGACUCUCAAGCGACUGUUUAACAAAAACACAGGGCUCUGCAAACCCGUAAGGGGACGUAUAGGGCCUGACGCCUGACCAGUGCCGUAAGGUUAAGGAAGGGGCUGCAAGGCUCCAACUGAAGCCACGGUAAACGUCCGCAGUAACUAUAACUGUGCUAAGGUAGCGAAAUUCCUUGUCGGGUAAGUUCCGACCCGCACGAAAGGCAGAACGACUUGAGAACUGUCUUGGGAAUAGACCCGGUGAAAUUGAGAUGGCUGUGAAGACGCGGCCUAAGUAUGCCAGGACAAAAAGACCCCGUGGAGCUUUACUACAACUUGGCCCUGCGUUAGGUUGUAAGAUGUGUAGUGUAGGUGGGAGUCUUCGGACAACAAUGAAACACCACCCUUCUUGCAAUUUGACGCUUACUUCGACCCAUAAUCUGGGCGAAAGACAAGGUCUGGUGGGUAGUUUGACUGGGGCGGUCCCCGCCUAAAGAGUAACGGUGGGGCCCAAAGGUUCGCUUAUCCCGGAUGGAAAUCGGGAUGAAUGUGUAAAGGCAAAAGCGAGCUUGACUGCGAGGCCUACAAGCCGAGCAGGUACGAAAGUAGGGCUUAAUGAUCCUCCGAUUGCCUAGUGUGAGGCACGGAGCUUAACGGAUAAAAGCUACCCCGGGGAUAACAGGCUAAUAGUGCCCAAGAGUUCAUAUCGACGGCACUGUUUGGCACCUCGAUGUCGGCUCGUCUUAUCCUCCUGCUGAAGUAGGCGGGAAGGGUUGGGCUGUUCGCCCAUUAAAAAGGUACGCGAGCUGGGUUCAGAACGUCGUGAGACAGUUCGGUCUCUAUCCGGCAUACUCGUAGGAAUCUUGAGAGGGGCUGCUUCUAGUACGAGAGGACCGAAGCGGACCAGCCUCUGGUGUACCAGCUGUAGAGCUUCUGCAACGCUGGGUAGCUAUGCUGGGUUGGUAUAAGCGCUGAAAGCAUCUAAGUGCGAAGACCACCUCAAGAUUAGGAUUCCUGUCUCGCCGACAAGGCGGGCUUAGAUCCCUGGAAGACUACCAGGUUGAUAGGCGGCAAGUGUAAGAGUAGUAAUACUUUCAGCUAAGCCGUACUAAUAGAUCUUUUCAGAUCCAAAG
rfam:Candidatus Woykebacteria bacterium RBG_13_40_15 RBG_13_scaffold_7482, whole genome shotgun sequence.